CCUACGGGAGGCAGCAGUGGGGAAUAUUGGACAAUGGGCGAAAGCCUGAUCCAGCCAUGCCGCGUGUGUGAAGAAGGCCUUCGGGUUGUAAAGCACUUUCAGUGGGGAAGAAAGCCUUGGGGCUAAUACCCUCGAGGAAGGACAUCACCCACAGAAGAAGCACCGGCUAACUCCGUGCCAGCAGCCGCGGUAAUACGGAGGGUGCGAGCGUUAAUCGGAAUUACUGGGCGUAAAGCGCGCGUAGGCGGUCUGAUAAGCCGGUUGUGAAAGCCCCGGGCUCAACCUGGGAACGGCAUCCGGAACUGUCAGGCUAGAGUGCAGGAGAGGAAGGUAGAAUUCCCGGUGUAGCGGUGAAAUGCGUAGAGAUCGGGAGGAAUACCAGUGGCGAAGACGGCCUUCUGGACUGACACUGACGCUGAGGUGCGAAAGCGUGGGUAGCAAACAGGAUUAGAUACCCGAGUAGUC
rnacentral:rRNA from 1 species